GCCACAAGUUCAUAGCCGCUGGCUCAUAGCAGCUUCCGGAACAGAUUGGAGUUUUCCUAUAAGCCCUAGAGAGUUAGGCUGCCACAUCAACAUGAGUGCCUUCAGAACUCGGGUUCCAAGGAAGGUCAGCGACGGCACGUUCUUAUUGCUUUAACCUUUCUGCCCACAUUGAGGAAAUUCGCAGCAAGCAAGGCUUGAGUGUCACUCAUUGGAAAGAUAAAUGCAGAAUGAGUUCCGAGAGUGCUUGGAAAUGUCAUCUUCCAUAGCAUCAUCUUACAGUCAAUGAAGACGCUAAUUGAGCAGCUGAAGACUCAUGGACUGAGAAUGUCAACUACUUCAAUGGCUCAAAUACUAACAAGAAACCAUUAACAUCAAAACAUGAUACAUAGGAUGGAUCUGAUGACUGGUCUAUCACGUUUUCAUUUUGUGGGUGAUGUACAUGGAUCAUAAUCUGAGGUGGAAUCAUUUAAUCUCAGCUGAACAUUAUUUUUUUCUCAAGUAUCCUCCCUUAAAUCUUUUUUUUUUUCUUCCAGAUCAGUAGCACUUCAUCAUUAGUGAAGAUAUUUAUUUUCUACUCUAUUUUCUAGGAAUUGGUUGGAGGGAGGUACGGAGGAAGAAGGGGAGGAUUAUAUAGGGAGAAUAUGCUGCCUCACCAAAAUGAAGUAGCUCUCUGAAAACGGAGGGAAAGGUAUCGACUUUUCUAGUGGAUGUAAUGCUGACACUGACUCAAGAAUAGAUACUGCAGAGCAUGAGUGGGUACACUGUAUUUUUACUUAAUCAAUAUUUUGAAAUUGUUUGAUUCAGUCUGUCACAUUAUUUCCCUCAGCAACAAUUUUUGCCAGUAACACAUUGCCCUUUGUGGGAUAAAUUCAUCCCAGAAAAUAACUAUUUAGCAUCUUCUAAAUGUAAGGAGCUUUAGACAAUACAAAGAUAAAACAGAACAGAGGUUGCCUUUAAAAAAAUGUGUAGUGAGUAAAAUAGCUAAGACAUCUGGCAUAUAAACAUAACGUGUUAUGGACUGAAAGAGAUGUUCACACUAUAUCAAAUACUAUAGCAUUUCAGAGGACUGAAAAGUUUUCUCCAAACUGAGGUUCUACCAAGUAUUCAGGUGUGGAGGAGGAGGGUUAUCAUCUCAGGCAUCAUCUGUCUACACACUGGCAUCUGAUGGGACAUCUACCACCCCACCAGUCCUCACUUGCUGAUUCCACAGAGGCAACAAGAUCAGCCACUAGAGGAAGUUAAGUGCUUUGCGGUGCUGGGCAGCAACACAGGAACUGACUUAUGAAGGAAAGUCGCUGUUAAGAUUUCUUUCUGCCUCUUAGAAUGUCCAGAAGCUCUAGAAAACGGACUUUGAAUUCAUAAUUUAGUAACCAAAUGCUCUCAGCUGCAACUGUCUUUAGGAAUCUUGGCCACCAUUGAUGCCACUGACCUCACAGAUUUUCCUCCCAACUUCACAGGGACACAGUCCACAGUGAGUAUCCUCAUGCCUGUACUCCAUGUGUCUCUACUUACCAUCUACCCCAAAGCUUCCCUUGUGCAGGAGAAUGCUGGCUACUAUAUAAACCGUUCUUGAGGGACAAGAAUUGAAGCAGGAAGCCCAGUUAGAAUGCUAUUUCAGCAGCUGAGAGAUGUGGACCUGAAUUUAAGUAAUCUUGGACUAUGCAGCAAGAGCAUCAUUUUAAGAUUAAACAAACAAACAGAAAAGAAUACAUCUAAGAUGAAUAUAUAUCUACAGGAUACACAGCAGAGGCAGCAGAUUCUUUUUCCAUAUAGGCCAUUACUCGGCAUAUACCUGGAGAAAACCAUAAUUCGAAAAGAUACAUGCAACCCAAUGUUCAUCGCAGCACUAUUUAUAAUAACCAAGACAUGGAAGCAACCUAAAUGUUCAUCAACAGAGGAAUGGAUAAAGAAGAUGUGAUACAUAUGUACAAUGGAAUAUUACUCAGCCAUAAAAAGAACAAAAUAAUGUCAUUUGCAGCAACAUGUCUGGACCUAGAGAUCGUCAUACUGAGUGAAGCAAGCUGAAAGCCGACCCUGUCAAUUGGCAUCAUCAUUAGCAAGCUACUGCCGAGAAAAAGAUCAUGUGUCCCUGGAAAGGGUGUGCUUCGUCAUUUCCCCCCAAACUGGAUGGGAAAGAAGAUUCAUCUUUCUCCUCAUUCUGUUCCAAUGCAAAAUUCAUCCUUCUGGUGAAUUGGAGGAUCUGCUGAUGUGAAAGUUUGUUUUGUCCUGACUUUCAAUAAUUUCCUCAGCAUGCAAAAGGACACGUUAAUGCUGGACAACAAAACCCAGUAGCGGGUUCCCACCACAAAGCAAAGUUUCAUGACCACAUGUCCAAAAACAAGUUUUUACGUCUUCUCCCUCCUCCCAAGAGUACAAUUCCAUUGGUUAUGACAUAAGCCACUAGGGAACACGGUGGUUGUUCUCUUGGGUAAUCUGUUUGCAAGAACUUGCAAAAUGGUCCUCAAAUUAGCAUGCCACACAUUAUUUAAAAUUCAAGGAAAAAAAGUCUUUGGCUUCCAAGUAAAGAUAGGAGAUAGAAAAGAAGUUGAUUUUAAGUAUAUAAAUGUUUAUAUAGGAGUAUAUAAAAAUGUUUGUACUUUUACUCAGUAACCUCAAUGUUUUUGAUUGCUUUGGGUUCCUUUAGUUGACCCUUUAUGCCAUGUUUUAUAGUAUAUGUCCUACUUGUGUAACAGUCAUCAGACAAAGGGGCUUUGGGCUACACAGCCAGUAUCUAAGAAUGUUAUGUUCAGUUUAGCUUGGUGUUACACCAAGGGAAUCCACAUCCAUCCUCAGUUCAAUGCUGUUCUGAGGAAGAGAAACAUAUCCAAUCAAUGAAAAUAUGGACAACUAUAACCAGUGAACAUAUGGGUGAGUCAUCUAAUAUAGCACUGACCUUAAAACUUAAAAAUGAAUUGUUUUUAGUCAAGACCGAAAAUUUUGAUAAAUGGAAAAUUGCCCUAAUGACUUUUCAAGUUAGACUUUUUUUAUUUGAUAAAGUUGCUAGAAAUUCAUUACCUUCCUCUGAGGUCUUCUAACUCUUCCAUUUGGAGAGAAAGAAAAAGAAUAUUUCAGCACUUCAGAAAGUGGAAACUGAGAUUCACCCCUCUUUUCACAAAGGUAAAUGAUACUUCCUUUUGAAAGGAUCAUUAUGGUCUCAUGUUAGUGACACAUGAAAGAGAUGACCUCACACUUCACAAAUUAAUAUCCAUAGUAAUUAUAAUAACUUUCCUUAAAAGUUACCUUUUAUCAUUAAACGUCACUGGAAACCAAAUAUACUAGACUUUAUUUAUUGAAAUGUGUGACUCACAGCACGGGUCCUCAUGACGUGUGAGCUCUGGUACUGAGCUUGCCCUGUAUUUAUUUUUCCUCCCCACCUACACUACGUCUUCAUCGACACAGUUUUUCCUGUCAUUAUGCAUGGAUUGUUUAAAAACUGCCCCAAGUUCUUUCCAAAGCCAGAUGAUUAUCUUGUUUCAACAUCAGAAAUAUAUAUUGUGAUAUGGUCAGAAUUUCAUUAUUAUGUCAAAAUAUUCUUACCCUGAGACAGAGAAAAAGUUUUGUGGAGAUUACAAAAUUUCCAGUUACUCUGAAAUAUGGUUCUUACUAUUUCAUUGCUCCAUGAAGUUAUUCAUCUCCUUGAAGACAGCAGUUGACUCUCUUUUUAUCCCCUGAUUGCACCUGGCCCAGAGUUUGUCAAUUACUUCAUUUUUAAGAUGUGACAGUUAUCACAUAAUACUUGAAAUAUACCUUUUUUUUGUACUUUUAAGUUACUUUUUAUGUUACAUUCCGAAAUAUUAAACUGAAAAGAAAAGGUGCUGUACUAAAAUAUUUUUCAAGUCCUUCUUUACAUGCCUUUGCUUUUGGUUACUUGACUUUGAUGUUAUUGUUCUUCAUUUUGUAUGUAUGUGUUUUGUCUUUCCCAGCAUACACAUGCUACUGCCCUUCUUAAAUGUUUCAUGCUCUACUGCCUUUAGAGAAUUUUGAAUGUGUUAUGCAUUUAUAUGUUUGAGUCAUCACAACUACUAUAGGUUAAUAUUCAAGAAACACAUAAUCAAGUUAAAGCUCUUCAAAUAAAAAUUAUAAUUCUAAUAUUGGAACUCAUUUCCUUCAUAUACUAACAUUUCUGGAAAAAGAAAAAGCUGAGUACAUCAUUAUUCCAGAAAACUUUUACUGUUUUCCAAAGCUUCUUCUUAGAAGACAUGCCAAAGAUGUUUGGGGUCAAAGUUUGAUAAAUACUUUUUGAGGGUUGGGUCAGUCUAGUAAAGAUUUAAGAGUAACAAACUGCAGCAUUUUUGCUGAAUUAAGGCAAACCACUUAACCAAUUUGGAUAUCCAUUUCCUCUGGUAAAAUAAGAGAUGGGAUGCCUGACUCCUUUCUGAAAUCUAUUCUUUAAAAAUAAAUAGAUGCAUGCACUGAGUUAUUAAAGUAAGGCCAUAAUUCUUAAAGUACUUUUGCUUUGGAAGUUGUUUUAAAUAAAUAGUAUUAACUUCAAUGGAACAUAUGCCAAAGAGUAUCAUUACUAUCUUUCAAUAUUAACCAUAUUAACAGAUAGUUUUUUAAUUAUAAAAUUUUGUGUAUAGCGAUUGAGCAAAGUUUAACACAUUUUUUAAAUCAGGUACACUGUUGAUUCAAGGAGAAGUUUGAUAAAAAAUUCUUCCUAAAACAAAGAGAAUUACAAAUAUGACCACAGUUUAUCCAGAGAUCCUGGGGUUCUAGGAAGCCUACAAAUUUAACAUUAACAUAGUUUGGGGGUUUGGGGGAGGUGGAACAAAUUAUUUCCCCAAAUUCAAAUUGGAAAGUAAUUUUGGUAAUUGUUAGUAAGUGAUAAAAUUUCAAAAUACAUGAAAUCAGCUAUCCACAUUUUGAAAUAGAAUCACAAUAUUCCAGGUUUAGGAAAACAGCCAUGCACAUAAUAUCUUAGGACCCAAGGUAGAUGCAAAUAUGAGUCAUCCCAGGGCCAAGCACUUUAUUCCAUGCUUUACAGUGUAUGUCCUCAUUGUGUAACCAUCAUCAUCGAGAAGGCUCUGCAUUACACAGACAAUCAUGAGAAUGUUAUAUUAGAUUUUUGUAGUAGUCAUCAGGUUUUUCCACCUGUUACGUGCAAGAUCUUGCUGUGUUUUCAUUAUUAUAGUUUAAUUUUAACCAUCUGAUUCCUGUUAUAUCAAAUUACCCACCAUUCCAUUAACAAACCCCAAAUCUGUGUUCUUGUUCACACUAUUUGCCCCCUCAGAAUGUCCAGAUGUGUAUCCUACUUGAAGUCUUCUUGACAACUAAU